UCAAGAACAUUUGGCAAUGGGCGAAAGCCUGACCACGCGACGCCGCGUGACUGAUGAAGUCCUUCGGGACGUAAAGGUCUUUUAUGAGGGAGGAAGUUAUUGACGUUACCUCAUGAAUAAGGGGCUCCUAACUCUGUGCCAGCAGGAGCGGUAAUACAGAGGCCCCAAGCAUUAUCCGGAAUCACUGGGCGUAAAGGGUGUGUAGGCGGUUGUAUUAGUCUUUCGUAAAAGCUCUCGGACUUAAUCCGGGAAAUGCGGAGGAAACGGUACAGCUACGAGGACGCGAGAGGUAGAGGGAACUCAUGGUGUAGGGGUGAAAUCCGUUGAUAUCAUGGGGAACACCAAAUGCGAAGGCACUCUACUGGCGCGCUCCUGACGCUGAAACACGAAAGCGUGGGAAUCGAACGGGAUUAGAUACCCGCGUAGUCC
rnacentral:rRNA from 1 species